GACGAACGCUGGCGGCGUGCUUAACACAUGCAAGUCGAACGCUGAAGCACCAGCUUGCUGGUGUGGAUGAGUGGCGAACGGGUGAGUAAUACGUGAGUAACCUGCCCUUGACUCUGGGAUAAGCCCGGGAAACUGGGUCUAAUACUGGAUGCUACAUGUCACCGCAUGGUGGUGUGUGGAAAGGGUUUACUGGUCUUGGAUGGGCUCACGGCCUAUCAGCUUGUUGGUGAGGUAAUGGCUCACCAAGGCGACGACGGGUAGCCGGCCUGAGAGGGUGACCGGCCACACUGGGACUGAGACACGGCCCAGACUCCGACGGGAGGCAGCAGUGGGGAAUAUUGCACAAUGGGCGAAAGCCUGAUGCAGCGACGCCGCGUGAGGGAUGACGGCCUUCGGGUUGUAAACCUCUUUCAGCAGGGAAGAAGCCACAAGUGACAGUACCUGCAGAAGAAGCGCCGGCUAACUACGUG
rnacentral:rRNA from 1 species